AUACGGAGGGUGCAAGCGUUACUCGGAAUCACUGGGCGUAAAGCGCGCGCAGGCGGCUUGAUAAGUUGGAUGUGAAAGCCUACGGCUCAACCGUAGAACUGCAUCCAAAACUGUCAAGCUAGAGUCUGGGAGGGGUAGGUGGAAUUAGUUGUGUAGGGGUAAAAUCCGUAGAGAUAACUAGGAAUACCAAAAGCGAAGGUGAUCUUCUGGAACAGUACUGACGCUGAGGCGCGAAAGCGUGGGGAGCAAACAGGAUUAGAAACCCCAGUAGUCC
rnacentral:rRNA from 1 species